rnacentral:rRNA from 1 species
CAGCCGCCGCGGUAACACAGAGGGUGCGAGCGUUAAUCGGAUUUACUGGGCGUAAAGCGUGCGUAGGCGGCUUCUUAAGUCGGAUGUGAAAUCCCUGAGCUUAACUUAGGAAUUGCAUUCGAUACUGGGAAGCUAGAGUAUGGGAGAGGAUGGUAGAAUUCCAGGUGUAGCGGUGAAAUGCGUAGAGAUCUGGAGGAAUACCGAUGGCGAAGGCAGCCAUCUGGCCUAAUACUGACGCUGAGGUACGAAAGCAUGGGGAGCAAACAGGAUUAGAUACCCCUGUAGUCCCUGUCUCUUAUAC